rnacentral:tRNA from 1 species
GCGAGGGUGCCCGAGCCAGAUCCAGUGGAUGGGGCUAAGUCAAAGGGGCAGGACUGAGGCUCCUGUGGCGUAGGCCUGCGUGGGUUCAAAUCCCACCCCUCGCACCA